rnacentral:rRNA from 1 species
AUUGAACGCUGGCGGCAUGCCUUACACAUGCAAGUCGAACGGUAACAGGCCGCAAGGUGCUGACGAGUGGCGAACGGGUGAGUAAUGCAUCGGAACGUGCCCAGUCGUGGGGGAUAACUGCUCGAAAGAGCAGCUAAUACCGCAUACGACCUGAGGGUGAAAGCGGGGGACCGUAAGGCCUCGCGCGAUUGGAGCGGCCGAUGUCAGAUUAGGUAGUUGGUGAGGUAAAGGCUCACCAAGCCGACGAUCUGUAGCUGGUCUGAGAGGACGACCAGCCACACUGGAACUGAGACACGGUCCAGACUCCUACGGGAGGCAGCAGUAGGGAAUAUUGGACAAUGGGGGCGAACCCUCGAUCCAGCCAUGCCGCGUGAGUGAAGAAGGCCCUCGGGUUGUAAAGCUCUUUUGUCCGGAAAGAAAAGCAUCUGGUUAAUACCCGGGUGUUCUGACGGUACCGGAAGAAUAAGCACCGGCUAACUUCGUGCCAGCAGCCGCGGU